rnacentral:rRNA from 1 species
ACGGCUCAGUAACACGUGGACAACCUGCCCAAAGGUCCGGGAUAACCCCGGGAAACUGGGGAUAAUACCGGAUAAAUCACAAGUACUGGAAGGUUUUGUGGUUGAAACUUCCGGGGCCUUUGGAUGGGUCUGCGGCGGAUUAGGUUGUUGCCGGUGUAACGUACCGUCAAGCCUGUAAUCCGUACGGGUUGUGGGAGCAAGAGCCCGGAGAUGGAUUCUGAGACACGAAUCCAGGCCCUACGGGGCGCAGCAGGCGCGAAAACUCUACAAUGCAGGCAACUGCGAUAGGGGAACAUCGAGUGAUACUCAUCUUGGGUGUCUGUCCUCCCGUCUAAAAAACGGGAGUUAGCAAGGGCCGGGCAAGACCGGUGCCAGCCGCCGCGGUAAUACCGGCGGCUCGAGUGGUGGCCGAUAUUAUUGAGUCUAAAGGGUCCGUAGCCGGCUUUGCAAGUCUUUUGGGAAAUCCAGCGGCUUAACCGUUGGGCGUCCGGGAGAUACUACAUUGCUUGGGACUGGGAGAGGUAGGAGGUACUCAGGGGGUAGGAGUGAAAUCCUGUAAUCCUUUGGGGACCACCGGUGGCGAAGGCGUCCUACCAGAACAGGUCCGACGGUGAGGGACGAAAGCUAGGGGCACGAACCGGAUUAGAUACCCGGGUAGUCCUAGCCGUAAACGAUGCUCGCUAGGUGUCACAACAAUCGUGAAUUGUUGUGGUGCCGUAGGGAAGCCGUGAAGCGAGCCACUUGGGAAGUACGACCGCAAGGUUGAAACUUAAAGGAAUUGGCGGGGGAGCAC